rnacentral:tRNA from 1 species
GUAGACGCUACGGACUUAAAUCCGUCGACUUUAGAAAUCGUGAGGGUUCAAGUCCCUCUAUCCCCAA